CACCACAGCUCAAUAUCCAAGACCUCUGAGCAACCCCACCAGGUGGAGAUGGGGACAGCCCGUGGCUGUUCCUGCUGCUUCUCUGAUGUCACAGAAGCAAGAAGCUUCAGCAAAGCCCCACAGAUCAAUGGCCAGACACCAAAUUGGGCCGAUCCAACACCAGCACAACCUGCCCAGAUAGGUGGUGAAGUCUCCAUCUUUAGAGACAUCCAAGACUCACUGGACAUGGUCCUGAGUGUCCAGGAUAAUCUAGGGCAGUGUCCCUGGGAGAACAAAGUUAUUAGCAAGGUUGAAGAAGCCUCAUGCAAUUAUUUAGCAACUACACCAAAAUAAUCCCCAAAGACCGGUGGCUGCUCACAGGUUGCAGCUUUCUAAGUCAUUCCAAUAAAAUCUGGCUCAGUAA